rnacentral:tRNA from 1 species
CCCUGGUGGCUCAUAUGGUAAAGGGUCUGCCUGGAAUGCAGGAGACCCAGGUUUGAUCCCUGGGUCAGGAA